rnacentral:rRNA from 1 species
UACGGAGGGGGCUAGCGUUGUUCGGAAUUACUGGGCGUAAAGCGCACGUAGGCGGACUGUUAAGUCGGGGGUGAAAUCCCCAGGCUUAACCUGGGAACGGCAUCCGAUACUGGAGGGCUUGAAUUCGGGAGAGGGAUGCAGAAUUCCGAGGUGUAGCGGUGAAAUGCGUAGAGAUCCGGAAGAACUCCGGUGGCGAAGGCGGCAUACUGGACCACUUCUGACGCUGAGGCGCGAAAGCCAGGGGAGCAAAGCGGG